UACAUUGAAUAAUGUUCCAGUUUAUUUUUUUAACUGUAAAGUUUGAUCUCGACUUAAGAAAUUUACUUUCUAAUAGUUGAACAUGUAAAUUUUUGUCAGAUUUUUAAUUUCUAAAGGGAAAUUUUAAAAUUUGCAGUUUUAUGUAUUAAUUUUUAAGGUGAUUUAGAUUUAGUUAAUUGGAAGAAUUUUGGCCAAAUUUGUGCCAGCAGCCGCGGUUAUACAAUGGAAGUAAGUAAUUUUUUUUGGUUUGUAUUUAAUUUUAUGAAUAUGUGGAUAAAAUUACUUCUUUAUGGUGAAAUUUAAGAGGUUAAAAAAGAUUGUGUUAUUGAUUUAAAUAUGAGGGUUCAUUUUGAGACUAGGAUUAGAUACCCUAUUAUUUUGAAUUGUGAACUAAUUAAAGCCUUAGUAUUAAUAGUUACGUUCUUUAAAUUAAAAAACUUUGGCGGUAUUUAGUCUUUUCAGAGGAGCCUAUCCUGUAAAUGAUAAUCCACGAUUAAUUCUACUUUACUUGCACUUGUCAUAUCUUAUUAGAGUUAUUUUAUAGUAAUUUUUAUGGAGAAAAUGUCAGGUCAAGGUGCAGUAAUAGUAAAGGAGAGAUGGGCUACAAUAAAAUAAUUUAUGGAUAGAUAAGUGGAAUUGGAUUUGAUAGUAAUAUAUAUUACUAUAUAUUUAUGAUUUUAGCUCUAAAUUAUGCACACAUCGCCCGUCGCUCUCGUUAUUAAAAUGAGAUAAGUCGUAACAAAGUAGACUUACCGGAAGGUUAGUCUGGAAUGAAUA
rnacentral:rRNA from 1 species